rnacentral:tRNA from 1 species
GGGGGAUUAGCUCAGUUGGCUAGAGUAUUUGCCUGGCAGGCAAGGGGUCACCGGUUCGAGCCCGGUAUCCUCCA